CUACAAGGGUAUCUAAUCCUGUUUGCUACCCACGCUUUCGCGCCUCAGCGUCAGCGUCAGUCCAGAAGGCCGCCUUCGCCACUGGUAUUCCUCCCGAUCUCUACGCAUUUCACCGCUACACCGGGAAUUCCACCUUCCUCUCCUGCACUCUAGCCUGCCAGUUCCGAAUGCCGUUCCCGGGUUGAGCCCGGGGCUUACACAUCCGGCUUGGCAAGCCGCCUCCGCGCGCUUUACGCCCCGUAAUUCCGAUUAACGCUCGCACCCUCCGUAUUACCGCGGCUGCUGGCAC
rnacentral:rRNA from 1 species